CUCACCAGGGGUCCAUUCUGCGCAGUAUGUACGCAGGUUAUUCUCACUUAUUGCACAGCAUGUUUGAAUGCUAUCCCAGGGGAUAUGGUUGCGGGCUAGCAGUGACCAUGCUGAACGAAGCGGGUCAUUUAACCUUUACUCAAGGUGUUCUUGUUUCAAUAUGUUCAUUUUUCAUAAUUUACCUUACCGGUGGUGUGAUAUAUAGGUUAUAUCUUUCCCCAUUGGCAAAGUUCCCAGGGCCGAAGUUAGCAGCCGCGACGCUAUGGUAUGAAUUUUAUUAUGAUGCUGUUCGCAGGGGCCGAUACACGUUCAAGAUUAAGGAGCUACAUCAAAAAUAUGGGCCAAUCGUCCGGAUUAGCCCAUACGAAUUACAUAUAGAUGAUCCUGACUAUUACCGUGUGCUAUAUUCGUAUAGCUCUCCGCGGGAUAAGUACCCAUAUUAUCUGAAA
rnacentral:sRNA from 2 species